ensembl:lncRNA
UGAUAACCACUGAACUAUCACUGACUUUCCCUUUUCCUCAAUUCCCACCGAAUAGCCAUGGUGAAGAGUGAUCUGGUGCUUCUGAAGGUCUGUGGUUUUGUCUGAGGAUCCAACCAUGGUCCCUUCCAACUCAAACGAUUCUGUGAUUCCAUGAUUCUAAUUAUACCCACGGUAUCAUAGAAUCAUAGAAUGGCCUUGGUAGAAAAGGACCACAAUGAUCAUCUGGUUUCAACCCCCCUGUUAUGUGCAGAGUCGCCAACCACCAGACCAGGCUGCCCAGUUACAGUGGUUUUCUAUCCAGAAGUUAACUGAAGGAUGUUAUGCCCACUGGGUCAGCAUCAAGUUUCAAGUCAUCAGGGACCAGCGUUUUAGGCUGUAAUUAUUUCCUUCCUUGCAGUGCUUAUCUCCUUGCACUGACUGGAGAGAGGGUUUCGCCACCACUCCAAACUAGCUGAGAAAUGAAUCAAUAUCAGUGAAUGACAGUGCAAGACUGCAUCCAACCAUACAUCCAACACCCUGCUAUAAGAGUGGGUAAAAGCAGAUGCUCAGGGAAGAGAAAGUGGAAAUAUUCAGCAUCCUCAACACUUUGCAGCAAGAAGUUCCACUGCUCUUGCAAAGAAAAAAACUCCAUUUGAGUUCGUUUUUAACUGAACUGAUCUGUCAUUAGCUUCCUUCAAUGGCCCUUCCUCUUCAAUGGCAAAAAGUUAAUCCUCUCCAUACUUCAGUAGAUUACCAGCCUUUAUUAUCCCUCCUCAGUUGUCACUAGCACAGGUUUAAUCCCUUCCCCAGCUUCUCAUUUCACUGCUGAAUUACUCCAAACUUAUGCAAGUAUCAGACAAUUGACUUGCAUGGUCAUCUGAACCUAGCUAUAGCAGUUACGCAAGGAGGAGGAAAAAACACAUUUCUGGAUUAUCUCGUGACGCUUUGCUGAUGCACACAUUUUUAUUGACUUCUGCUGGAUCAAUUUUUGAUGUCUGUGUAGGUUUUUUUUUUUAAGCAGACGCCAGCAAAUUUAUUUGGGAUUGACAACCUAGAUGUGUAGAGAGAUACAGUAGCACAGAU